rnacentral:rRNA from 1 species
UACGGGGGGAGCAAGCGUUGUUCGGAUUUACUGGGCGUAAAGGGCGCGUAGGCGGCCACCGCAAGUCGACUGUGAAAUCUCCGGGCUUAACCCGGAAAGGUCAGCCGAUACUGCGGGGCUAGAGUGCAGAAGGGGCAACUGGAAUUCUCGGUGUAGCGGUGAAAUGCGUAGAUAUCGAGAGGAACACCUGCGGCGAAGGCGGGUUGCUGGGCUGACACGUGACGCUGAGGCGCGAAAGCCGUAGGGGAGCGAACGGG